rnacentral:rRNA from 1 species
CCAGACUCCUACGGGAGGCAGCAGUGGGGGAUAUUGGACAAUGGGGGGAACCUUGAUCCAGCGACGCCGCGUGAGUGAAGAAGUAUUUCGGUAUGUAAAGCUCUGUCAGCAGGGAAGAAGAAAGUGACGGUACCUGACCAAGAAGCCCCGGCUAACUACGUGCCAGCAGCCGCGGUAAUACGUAGGGGGCAAGCGUUAUCCGGAAUUACUGGGUGUAAAGGGAGCGUAGACGGUAAUGUAAGUCUGGAGUGAAAGGCGGGGGCCCAACCCCCGGACUGCUCUGGAAACUAUGUUACUGGAGUGCAGGAGAGGUAAGCGGAAUUCCUAGUGUAGCGGUGAAAUGCGUAGAUAUUAGGAGGAACACCAGUGGCGAAGGCGGUCUGCUGGACAGCAACUGACGCUGAGGCUCGAAAGCGUGGGGAGCAAACAGGAUUAGAUACCCCUGUAU